GACGAACGCUGGCGGCGUGCUUAACACAUGCAAGUCGAACGGAAAGGCCCUGCUUUUGUGGUGUGCUCGAGUGGCGAACGGGUGAGUAACACGUGAGUAACCUGCCCUUGACUUUGGGAUAACUUCAGGAAACUGGGGCUAAUACCGGAUAGGAGCUCCUGCUGCAUGGUGGGGGGUGGAAAGUUUCGGCGGGUGGGGAUGGACUCGCGGCUUAUCAGCUUGUUGGUGGGGUGGUGGCUUACCAAGGCUUUGGCGGGUAGCCGGCCUGAGAGGGUGACCGGCCACAUUGGGACUGAGAUACGGCACAGACUCCUACGGGAGGCAGCAGUGGGGAAUAUUGCACAAUGGGCGGAAGCCUGAUGCAGCAACGCCGCGUGCGGGAUGACGGCCUUCGGGUUGUAAACCGCUUUCGCCUGUGACGAAGCGUGAGUGACGGUAAUGGGUAAAGAAGCACCGGCUAACUACGUG
rnacentral:rRNA from 1 species